CUCCAGCUUGCCGUCACUGCGCUCUGUGGCGCUCAUGAACCGAAAGUUCUCGCGAGAACGGGAGGGAUGCGCUGUUAAGAUCUCGGCCAUCGAACGGGAUUUUCCGCUGCUUUACAAAACAAAUACCUGGGGCCUGUAAAUUCCAGAAUGUAUUGUUCAGGUACGUUUAGCCUCCAGGCAUUCAGAAGAAGAAAGGAAGUCCAACCGCCUCGCCUGGUUUCCAGCAGUUCCAGGUGUCUCUGUUUAAACUGUGCCUUUGCUGUUGAAAUGACUGCGACAGAAGGGAGUCUUUGUCUUGAACCUCAUACAAUGGAGGCGAGAAAGAGCAUUGAAACUCGACCACAUUGUUAAUUAGCUACUCGAAAUAAAACCGUUGCCUAAAUGAAA